rnacentral:lncRNA from 1 species
CUAUCUCGAACAAAGCUCAAAUAUUUUAAGUAAUCUUCUAUGCGUUGCAAAGUGAAUCAGACGUGAAUACUCUAAACCCAAAGAAUCAAUAUGACUUCAUGUUUAACCUGCCGAUUUGAAUUUUAACUUAAGUUGACAAUGAUUCAUUUUAGAUCUUCAAACAAUGUUGCUUCUAAAUCCAAUUAGACAAGCUCACAUGCUCAUGAGUAGUGUUCAUGCACUCUUGAAUAAAGUCUACUUGGUCUAGUUAAUAUAGAUGGCACUUAUUUGAACAACAGUCCCAAGCAAUUAUUUCAGAGCACAAGCACAAACACAAACACAAUAAACAAAUGAACGAGUAUAAGCCUAUUAUCUCAUCAGUUCGAUGUUGUCCAGCAUAGCCUAGUUUUACUAUAGAAUUCGAAUAUUGGAUGCCAAAUGUGUGAAUCUACUUAUACAAUCCAAAGCCAAUUUAAUAAUAGAAAAACCAGCAGAGAAUUACACAAAAUUAGUGAACGAAACAUUAAGUACACAACUCUGGAAAAUAGCCAGAUCAGGAUUUAAGCUUCAACUCUUCACAUAUACUCAUGCUUCAUAUUUUCAGCUUAUAAUUGCCAAAGCAACAGUCGUGUACCUGGAAUAUAGAUCAAAAUAAGAUGCAGGAGGUCAGCAGUAGUUAGCAGACGAUCACGGGCAGCCAAGAAGCAAAAUCAGCAACCAGAAAUGUUUAAAACCCAAAAUAGAAUUUGCAAUUAACCCAGAACACACUUGAACAAACCCAAAUGACCUCGAAAACAAACCCAGGACCUUUUGCGACUUCAGCAAGCCUGAAUUUAACUUAAAUGGACCAAAUUUAAAUACAAAUUUACUCCAGAAAUUUUAAAACACACAACAGAUGACCCACAACUAAUUUGACCAGAUCAAAACCCAUGCACAAAGGACUCCAAAUGUCUUCGAACCUCAGAUGUUGAACAAAACGAAGAAUUCCAGUAGCUUUUGGUCCUAACUAAGCUAGAAAGUUGGAUUAAAUGCUAGAACUUGAGAGUGAACUAAACAAAACUAAUGAAACAGUAGCUUUUAUGGAUUUUUCUUUUGUUUUUUGUUGUUUUUGGUUUUUGAAGAACAAUAUCUAGCAUUGGAAUUUAAAAAUAAAAUUUGAAACUCAGAUUUGCAGCCAAGGUUUUUUUUUGGAGGGGGGNNNNNNNNNNNNNNNNNNNNNNNNNNNNNNNNNNNNNNNNNNNNNNNNNGGAGGGGGGGGGGGGAAUUUGGAGCUCAAAAAUUGAUUUUAAAGGUAAUGAAGGAGUGCCUCUUAUAGGCCAAUUUCAGGAGGAAGCUUCUAAAUCCCCCUCACUCUUUUUCCCCUAUUUUAUUUUCAGAUUUUAUCCCUUAAUCCCUAAUUUACUGACUUGUGUUCCAAGUUACACCCCUAAGCUACCAAAAAUCUGAUUUGAAACUUAUCUAGAAAGUUCAAGUAGCUUCCAAUUCAGUUACUUAUCAGAUUCCUCCAAUGAGUUACCUUUACUGCCCUUAGCUUAUUUGAAAUUUACUAGUCCAACAAAUUAACAUAUUAUCAAUGCCCAAAAUGCCCCUGAAGACCCCUGAAACUACUAGUUUAAUACAGCUAUAUCCAAACCAUUAUUUAACUAAGCCUAAGGAUUAUUUGAAACUAGACAUCAAACUAUGGGAUUACUAGAAAUCAAUUAAAUCGGCUUAACAUUAGAUAGCAACAAUCAUAAAGAAUUUGACAUUCAAACAGGGCUUAAAACAAGAUCGAUUACAGAUUCUACACAAAACCAGAACUACUAGCGCAGAAUUAAACUACAGAAUCAUUAUUGAACAUAUACGGAAAACCCAAAAAAAUCAAAACAGAAAUAAACAAAACAAAACUGAAUUAAUAUCUACAUUAAAUGCAUUUGUUCAACAAUUAAACCAAUUAACAACAAUCACUAAAGCAAGGACAAAUCACAGGAAGCAAUUAAGGAGAACAUAGGACAAAGGAAGCAAAACAAACGAAGAAUAAGGGGGAACUCACAACUAGGUUCAAACGGACAAGUGACACGGUCAGGAUGCUUGUGCGGAUGAAUGUGGGCCUGGCCUAGAAAACUCGGAUCCUAGAUGUGAAUUUGAAGGACUUCAGUUGGGAUUUUUGUGCGUUAAACAGGGGAAAAGGGCUUAGGGUGGCCUGGGGGUUAGGGAGUAUGCGUUUGGUAUAGUGUAGUGCGGUGCUAGGGUUUGGAAUUUUUGGGGUGUUUGAGUGAGAUUCGGGGGAUGUCGGUGGUGGAUAUGGAAAGAGGGAGGAGUGAAGGGUAUGUGGUGUGAUUUUUGGGGCAUUUAGUGGUUCUCCGCCGCCGUGGUCGAUUUCCGGCGGCGGCGCUAGGCGGAGCCGCAGAAGAGGAAGGGGUACGAGGAAGAGGACCUCUGUCCCUAGGGUUUCUAUUCUGAGACAGUUUUAUUUAAAUCUAAUAUUAAUCAAGGGCCGUCGGAAUGGCCAAGAUCACUUUGCCAUGUAGCUCAAAAUGACGUUGUACUGCCUCAAUACUAUGUCGUUUAGUUUGUUUGGAAGAUUGAAAUGUUUGGACUGGACAUGGGCCGGAAUUGGGCUGAAACUGGGCGGUUUCGGUGGGUUAUUGGGCUUGCGAUGCACGAGAUUGGCCCAAAGCCUGGUUACUUCUUGUUUUUCUUUAUUUCCCUUUUUAUGAUAAUUUCCUCUUCUUUUUAUUUCAUUUUGUAUUUAUUUUUUAUAUUAUUUUGAUUUAUUAAGAUACAACCAAUUAAAAUUAAACAUAAUUUAUUUCCAAAAUUAAGCUAAUUAAUUCUUAAAAAUUGAUUAAAUCCUAUUUAAAAGUAAAUUCAUGACAUAUUCACCGAUUAACAAUUUAAAUUUAAAAAUGGACUAUUUUUUGUUAUUUCCUUUAUACGUUGUUUUAAAAAUAACUUAACAGCUAAUUAAUUCUAAAAUAUGAAAUUAAAUCCUAAAUGCAAAAAUGUGAGUUAAAUACGUUGUUUUAUAUUUUUUAUAUAAGUUAAACUGCACAAAUAAUAUGCAAACAAUUAACAUAAUAUAACACUAAAUUAACAAAAUUUGUAAAAUAAUGAAAAGGAUUAUUUAAUUCAAAUUUUUAGGAGUAAUUCACAUAUAGGACAAAAAUUACGUGCUCAUAGCAUGGAAAUUAAACGAGAAAUAAAUAAAAAAUAAAAGAAAAGAAAAAGGGAAUUGGAAAUACCCGAAUACCAGGCGGACUAAAUAUUAGAUUCACUCCUUGUUCCUUCAAUAUGGAUUGAACGGACCUUGAAAACAUACGAUUAAGGUCCAAUUCGGUUCAAAGAUCUUCACAUGUGUAUUGAACAUUGAAAUAAAGAAUUAGGGCUAAGUUUCUGUGAUUCAACAUUCAAGAUACUGGAGGAGGUUUUGAUGAAACGAUUUGGAUAUUCAGAUUGAGGGAGACAUGGUGGUUUAAGGGUGUAAAUUUCAGGCCGUUUGGAGGUGGCGCCGCCAUCGGAGCAUUUAGGGUGGCGCUAGGGUUUCGAUGUUUCGAGAGGCUGGGCUUAGAUUCGACGAAAGGUGAGGGUGGGACUGGAAUAAGGAGGUCGAGGGGAGACUGCGGUGUAAUUUUGAGGUGAUUUGAGCCACCGGAACCGCCGUGAGGCGAUUUCUGGUGGCAGAGGGGGCGGUGUUACAGAGAGAUGUCUCUAGGUCAGAAUCCCGAAAUACCUCAACGUAGAGCUGAAACUUAACACUUAGUACAUUUAACGAUGAGACAACAGUAAAUCAAUGACAGAUAUAUAGAUAGAUAGAUAUCAAUGCAUGAAUGCAAUGCAAUUCACAUGACUGCUACGACGUACAACCCGAUCCAUUUAGCUACUCGAACUCACUGUUGGGGUUCAGACUCCGGAAGGGCUCCUUCAGCGCAAAUGCAAUGACAUAGUACCAUUCGCUGCGGCGUGCAGCCCGGUCCACAAUCAGUCCAAUUAUAUAUGCAUGCAAACCACAUGGGCACAAUCAAGUUUACCAUUUUUGGUUCCAUUUAACAGGUACUAUAGUUUAGGAGAUUAAAACCUUAGAAGAUUACUAAUCAUUUCUAGACAUUAUUUAACUCAGGACUGAUAUCUUAGAAACAUGUUCAAUUUCAUGGCAACAGAAAUAAUAAUCCCUAAGAAUUCCAAAUAGUUGGCAUACAGCCCAAAUAUGCUCAUAACAAUCCAAGUAGAGGGAUCCAACGGCCUUGAUUAAAAUACGAGGUCGUUUGGUUAUUGGGUGGACGUGCCGAGUCUAAUUAAAUGGGUAAUGGAUUGAUGAUCUUGACCGUUGGAUGUGUGAGAUCAACGGCCUCGAUCAAAGCUCUGGAAACGGCGUCGUUGGGAUGGGUGUUGGAGAUGGACUGAAUUGGGGCGGGUUUUGGGCCUGUUUUUGGUGGGUAAGGGUAUUGGUUUGGUUUGGGCCUGAGAUUUUUCAGCUAAAUCCGAUUUUCUUCUCUUUCUUCAUUUUUUUCUUUUUCUUCUUUUUAUUUUUAUUUCCUAAUUUUAAAACUAAUAAUCCUAGAUUAAAUUAGAAAAUCAAAAUUAACUUAAUAUACUAAUUAACUCUUACAAAUGAUUAUCACACAAAAUUAAAUAAAAAGAAAAUCACACAACUUGAUUUUAAACAAUAAAAUGCGAAGUACAUUAUUUUGUGAUUUUUUUCAUUUUGUAAAUAAAACUUAAUUACUCCUAAUUGUAGAAUUAAAUCCUAAAUGAACAUAUAACUUUCUUUUUGUUAGUUAAAAUAAAUAAACAUGCACAGACAAAUGCAAACAACAAAAGAAAAUACCACAAAAUCCUCAAAAAUCAAACAAUGGAAAACAAUUAUUUUAUAUUAAUUUUUGUGGAAGUAAUUCUCGUAGGGAAAAAAUCAUGUGCUCAAACUAUUUUGAUGUGAUUUAAGAAAAUCAAAUUGUUAAUAGUAUUAAAAAUAUUCCAAAUGUAUCAUGCUUUUGGUUCCUAGACUACCCGUACUUAAACAUAAUAGUAGCUACGCACGGACUCUCGUCACCUUGUGCGUACGUUGCCCCCACAAAUAGAAGUACAUAAUCAAUUAUUUCACCUAUGGGGACAAUUCCCUCUUACAAGGUCAGAAAGGAGACUCACCUCACUCCGAAAAUUCGUAAUAAGCAUUUCACGCUGUUCCGAAGACCCGAAUCGAGGCUAAAUGCUCCAAAACUAGCCAUUAAUUAUGAAAAUCCAAUAAUAUAGGUUCAAUUACUCAUUAUAAUCCAAUUUAUAACAAUUCCUAACCCCGAUCAAAAAGUUGACAAAAAUACCCUCGAGCCCACGUGCCCGGAUUCCUAAAUUUUUUUAGGAUAAAAUUUACCCAUGAACUCAUUAACUCAAUUAUAUGAUUUUCUCUUAAUUUCAUACCCAAAAUCGUGGUCAAAAUUCAAGAAUAUCAAUUUUCUAGAUUUUCACUCAAACCCCAAGUUUCUACCAAUUUUCAUGCUCAAAUCCAAAACAAAACCAUGUAUUUAACGUGUAAUGAAUGGGAACAACUUACCUUGACAUAGAUGAAGAAAAUCUCUCUUCUGAAAGCUCCAAAAUUGUCCAGCCCGAAGUGAAAAAUGGGUGGAAAUGAACCAAAACUCAAGUUUUAAAGAGAUCUCACCACCUCCAGUCCCUUCACACCUACGGUCCCGCAGGUGCAGACCAACCGCCACUUCUGCAAUCCGGGGCUCCCAGCCCAUUUCCGCUUCUGUGCUCCUUCUUCCGCAGGCGUGGUCCCGCUUCUGCGUCGACCUUACCCCAUCUGCGGUCCCAGCCCCUUCACCAACACAUCUGUGCCCCUUUUGGCCGCUUCUGCGGCUCCGCACCUGCGAGACUUGGGUCGCAGAUGCGGUUACACUAGUAACCAAUGACAUUAGCUAUUCCACCAAGUUCUAAUUUUAUCCGUUAACCAUCCGGAAUCUACCCAAGGCCCCGAGACCCCAACUAAUCAUACCAACAAGUCCCAAUAUACAUGACGGACUUGCUCGAGGCGUUAAAUCACAUCAAACAACGCUAAAAUCAUGAAUCGACUUCCAAUCCAAGCUUAAUAAACUUUAGAAUUUUAAACUUCAACAUUCGAUGCUGAGACCUUUCAAAUCACAUCUUAUUGGACCCAAAUUUUGCACACAAGUCGUAUUUGGCCUUACGGGCCUACUCCAACUUCCGUAAUCAGAUUCCGACCUCAAUAUCAAAUAGUCAACUUCCGGUCAAGCUUCUCAAAAACCUUCCAACUUCUAUCUUUAGCCAAAUGGCUCCAAAAUAACUCACGUACCUCCAAAUUCUUUUUUGAUCACGUUCCCAACACCAGAAUUACCAUAUUGAACUAUUACUAGGCUCGGAAUCCUAAAUGGACAUUGAUAACACUUAAAUGCACUUCAGCCUAAACUUAUGAAAUUCUUUCAAUAAUACUAACUUCCACAAUAGGUGCCGAAACAUUCCCUGGUCUUCCAAACCCUGAUCCAAACAUACGCCCAAGUCUGGUAUCCUCAUACGAGCAUGUUGGAACCUUCGAAUCCCGACUCCGAGGUUGUUUAAUCAAAAAUCCCUUCUUAGCUAAUUCCUUCAACUUAAAGCUUUCAAAAUGAGAAUUCUCUUUCCAAAUCAACUCUGAAUUCCCCGGAAUUCAAUUCCGACCAUGCGUACAAGUCAUAAUACCUGAAAUGAAGUUGUUGAAGGUCUCAAACUACUGAACGAUGUGCUAGAGCUCAAAACGAACCGGUCGGGUCGUUAAACUAUAAUCAUUAAUCCAAUGAUAUAGUCAAUUAGAGGGUGAAGAUAUUACCUUCUUGACGUUCAAUCCUCUUGAAUUCGAGUUAUAGCAUUUCUUUUUCAAUAAUGAUGUCUCGAAUUAAUAUCUAAUGACUAUAAGGGUUUACCUAUGUUAACAAGGUGUUGGAGAAUUUAAAUUAACUUAGAAUCAUCAUUAGAACUUACCUUAGAUGAUGAAGGGACCUUGGGGGAGGUUAGGUUCCUGAGAGCUUCCCUUUCUAGAGCAAGUUUUUGUUUUUGGGGGUGGUGGACGAAGUAGAGCUUAUAAAACGGCUUCCCAUGUGCACCCUCACACAGCUGAAGACCCAACCAUGCACCUAAAUAUCCAGCAGGUCAGUAGCACUGCCAUAAGUGCGUGGUAGUGCACGGGACCAUCCGGGCACGCACCGGUACGCAUACUGCGUAUUGUUCAGUAAAAUGCACGUAGAGAUCCGUUCGGGCUUCACAAUAUAUCAUUUAAAAGGUAUUUCAAAGGGUUCAUGUUUUGUAUUUUUCCAAAUUCCUUAUAGAUAUUCACGAAAUCCUGUUGGAAGACAGAUCUUUCGUAAAGUUGGUCGAAUUUAUUAAAUCUUAUGCACCUCACUCUCCGCCUUAUUCUAAAACAACUAUUUCCACCCACAUUCAUCCAAACAUAACUUUACAUGUCUAAAAUAUUACAUUAAUACUCAUUUAAUAUAUUCACACCUAAUUCGAAUUUACGGAGGGUGACAAAAGAAAACAUAUAUAUGGUGGUUGGACAAGUACUAGAGCCCAUGUUAAAUAAUAAUGUCUUGAGAAAAACGCGGUGAUGAGGACAAAUAUUUAUUAAAGUAGCUAGUACAUUAUAAUUGCUACUACUCAAAACGGGGUGAUGAGGACAAACAUUUUUCAAAGGAGCUAGUACAUUGUAAUUAUUAAUACUCAAAAUGUAGUGUUGGCAAAUAUUUUUCAAAGGAGCUACCACAUUAUAAUUACUACUACUACUCAAAAUGUGGUGAUGAGGGCAAAUAUUUUUCAAAGGAGUUAGGUUUGGUAGUCAGUUAUUUUCUUAUGUUGGUAGUAUAUGGCCCUUUACUUUUGUCUGUCUUCAUCGUAAGCUGACAUAGACCCCAUAAUGGUUUCGGGACUAAUAAAUAUAGCAACAAAGGCUUCCUAGCGUCAUAAUGGUUUCAGGACUAAUAAAUAUAGCAACAAAGGCUUCCUAGCGUUGUAGUACAUUAUAAUUACUACUACAUCUACUACUAUAUUAUUUAUAGCAAUCUGGAGAGUUAAAAUCUCACUUUGAGAAUUUCAAGAAAAAUACCAAUUAAGAAACCAAAAUGGAAGAUUCAAAAGUUAACAAGAAUGACAACAAUGGAGAAGAAGAAGGACGAUGGAGUCUCAAAGGCAAAACAGCCCUCGUUACUGGUGGCUCUAAAGGCAUAGGGUGAGUUUGAAAUUUUCCCCUUGGGUCUUCCAUUUAAUUAUAGAGUUACGUACGUAGUAACAGUUUCCAUGCAGAUUCACCUUUUCAGCAGGGCGUGUUACAAAUUUAUUAGUAGUAUUUAGUGGCAGCCGAAUCAGGAUUUUUACUAAGAAAAUUCAAAAAUAUAAGAAAGUAAAUACAUGAAGAAUCUAAUGGAAUUUAUUAACAUCUACUAUAUUUUAAUAUAUGUGAUAAUGUUAUAUAUACUGUGUAAUUUUUCUGAGCUCUCCUCUUACUAAUACCUAUGACAAAUUUAUAUAUGUGGAAUUCCGAGUAAGUAAUAUGAUCGAUUGGAAUGAGUAUGCUAUGAUAUUAUUAAUUACACAUACAUCUUAAGAUUUUCUUUUUAUGUAUUAACUGUUGGAGUCGAAAGAAAUGAUGAGGUUAGUUGAACGUGCAAAACCUGCUCUCAUUCAUGUUAUAUAUGAUUUUAUCUUUAUAGUUGAAAACCUCUAAGAAAUACAAAUGACACUGUUAGUUUUAGGGCUUUGCGUGAAUUGGAUCGGAGGAUUGGAUUUAGGAGAUUUUAGAUUCAGAUUUCAGAUUUCGAAUUCUAAAAAAUACAAUCCGAAUCUGAUUCGAAUUAAUAUCGGAUCAGAACAGAUUUUAAUUUUUGGAUCGGAUUGAAUUUUAAAGUUUGGAUCGGAUCGAAUUAUUACGCCUUAAAGUUACAAACUCAUAUGUAUAUUUUCUUUGAAAAAGAGGCAAUACAGUAAGAAAAAAUUCAUAUUCUGCAAUUAUGAGAGUAUUAUGGUGCCAAUAUAGCUAAAUCCAGCAAUUGUAAAGGUUAUAACUUGGAGGAAGAUGUAAAAGAAAUACCAACUAUCUCAUAUUUGAGUUUAGUAUUUAUACAUGCCCUAAUAAUUUCAUAUUUCUGAUUGUAUCAGAUUCAAAUUAUACCAAUCCUAACCCUAUCCGAAAUCCGAAAUUUUGAAUAAACACAAUCUGAAAUUCGAUCUAAUCAGAAAUUCGAAAUUCGAAAUUGAACGAAUCGGUUCAGAUUUCGGAUAUCUGACCCAAAUGAACAGCCCUAAUUAGUUUUGCACUCAUUGAUAAAUCAGUAAGUGUAGUUCUACUCCACUCUAACUCAUAAAAUGGAGGAUCUUCUUGAAAUAAGACUUCUGUCAUAUUAAAUACAACAUUACAGACGUUAUUGAUAGAAUAUAUGAGUCCACCAAACUAUAGGGAGACCGGGUCCUCUAUGAGUUUUCAUAGAGAAUGCUAAUGAAACAGUAAGUAAAUAAGACAUGGAGGUUUUACGUGAAAUAAAUUCC